rnacentral:lncRNA from 1 species
CAAAUCAAAAAUAUAUCGAAGUCUUUUGAAAUUGGAUCGUAUCGUUGAUCCGUUGAACCGCGAAAUACUGAUCUAAAAUCCUUUCAAAUCAUAUCAUCAUCGAUAUAACAAUUAACAAUAAAAAAAAUUUAAUUAUGUAUCACUUCGAAUUAUUUAAGAGAAAAAAGAUCGAGAGACAAUGUAUAUUGACAAAUUUUCAAAUAAUGGUAAAAAUUAUAUGAAUAAAAAAUUAAUUAAAUAAAAAGAAAAUUGUCGAAUUUAGUAAAAUUUUAAUCGUAUAAUUCAUAUAUCGUAAGAUAUAGAGUUCAAGAGUAUGAACAAUCGCUUCUGUUCAUCAAAUCAGUUUUCGCGGUCAACGGUUCAAUGCGAUCCAAUAUUCUCACAUCGCUGCCAAUACAAUCCGCAACUCCAUUCGAGUCGGCAUUUACCGGCCGCGUUGACUCGCACAAGGGCAGUUAAUGGUUUUGGUCGUAUCUAGAAGCGAUACAAAUUGAUUUUACAAACGAAACAAUGCGUGGCGCCAUGUGUUCGCGCCGGGCCAGAUGUCGCCAUAGUCGGUUUCUUGAUCAACAACUAGGUUAGUUGUCGCGUAUCGUAUUGGCAACGACGCGGAACAUUUUCUUUCAGUCACAUUCACUUUCUUGCAAUUUGCGUGAUAUUUAUUCAUGGUUGCAUUCUUUUAAAGGUUUUGUUCAUUUUUUUGGCUUGAUUGUGGGUAGUUGAUUUUUUUGUAAAGUAUCGAGCAGAUUAUCAAUUCGGGAGCAAAAAAGAACACGAUCGUCCUGAGGCAGGUAAUAAUAAUAAUAAAUAAAUAAAAGGGCUUGGAUCAUCUGCGGUAUAUAAAAGUUGGAGUAUGUUGAAGCUGAAUAUUUUAAGCGAUUUGUGUAUAGUGCUGAAUAUAAUGAGAUUGAUGUAGGUAGGUAAGAUAAUAACAAUAAUAAUGAUGAUAAUGAUGAUAAUAAUAAUAAUAUAAUAUAUAGAAAAUAUGCUGUGUAUCAAGCAUAUGUACGCAGCUUGUUAUAUCAGAUACCGCUUAAUAGACUGUAUAUGUUUGCAAAUAAAGAUAUUCUAUAUAAAAAUAUUGAUUCUUAAUUAUUUUCUCACAUAUACUUGUUAUUUGUUGAAAAAUAAUAAUUUAAAUAAAAGAUUGAGAAAACAUAUUAUUUUGCAAAUUAUAUUUGAACAAUAUGAAUUAUAAUUUAAAAGUUGAAAUGAAUUCAAAAAUUCGCGGUGUUCCACGUGUCAACCUAACUUAAUAUUUGACAUGUUCAAUUUACUCGCAACAAACAAGAUUUAUAAAGCAUAGCCGUCGAGAAACAAUAUUAAAAAAUAUUCCCUGAAUAUUGUAUGAAAAUUCGAUAAUAAAUAUAAAUCGUGUAUCAUAUGAUAACAUCAGCGUUUAAUUAUUUUUUAAAUAUAUUGCUUAUAUCUAUGGAAUAUUAAGAAUAAAGAAAUGAAUAUAUAUCUGAUAAAAUUUUCAACAUCUGAAAAGAUUUUUUUUAUAGAAUAAGGAGGAAAGGCAUAAAGAUGCUGAAAUAUUUAUAUCUAUAUUUGUCAAUUUCCUAAUUAAGAAAUAAGUUCUAAUAAAUUAGGAAACAAAGUUAUGAUUCAAAGUUCAAAAUAUUCAGAUUAUGCUAUCUGUAAAACUGUAUUUCAAAUUAUUCUUAAGUAAUAAAAAAAUAUUUUUCCUUUAUCAUUUUAGCAAAUAUCAAAUAUCAAAGUAUGGUAGAACACAUACAACAAGCUGCAUAGAUGCAUUUGAUAUUUGUAUAUAUAUAUAUAUAUAUAUAUAUUCAUUUGUCCCUAAGGAAUUGCGUAUGGGGUUAUGAUUCGUUCUUGGAGGAUCCAUAUAUUCCCCCAUGAGAAUUAAAAAGUCAGACGAUAUCCAUUGGACGAACGAUCGUGUCGUCGUUAUGGAGAGCGAUCAAAGCCGUGUAUAAUUCCGGCUACGCGCACCAUGCCACCGUUCUCGUUCCUUCGGCGACUUGGGGAUCAAACAUUACCUGGGUGCUGAUCCUCCAAGUACGAGCAUAGCAAGGUGGCAGGCACAGUCGUCACUACUGGUAAAAAAAAGAAAAAAAAAAAAAAAAAAAAAGAAAACAAAGAAGAAAAGAAUCUGAAAUCAUAGUGAAUCGUAUAUAAAAGGAAACGUAAAACAAUUCGAAUCGAAUUGAAAAAAAUAAAUCGAAAAGAAGAGAGAAACGGAUAUAUAUAUAUAUUUUUUUUAUCUAUAUAUAUAUAUAUAUAUAUAUGUAUAUAGAUCAAUCUCGAACACACCGACAUCUGGUGGCGAGCGCGUAUGCAAGACUGAAUAACGGAAAACAAAGAAAAAUAGUAAAGAAAAAAAAAAAAAAA